rnacentral:rRNA from 1 species
GACGAACGCUGGCGGCGUGCUUAACACAUGCAAGUCGAGCGGUAAGGCCCUUUCGGGGGUACACGAGCGGCGAACGGGUGAGUAACACGUGGGUGACCUGCCCUCAGCUCUGGGAUAAGCCUGGGAAACCGGGUCUAAUACCGGAUAUGACUCCAUGACGCAUGUUGUGGGGUGAAAGCCUUGUGCGGCUGAGGAUGGGGCCCGCGGCCUAUCAGCUUGUUGGUGGGGUGANGGCCUACCAAGGCGACGACGGGUAGCCGGCCUGAGAGGGCGACCGGCCACACUGGGACUGAGACACGGCCCAGACUCCUACGGGAGGCAGCAGUGGGGAAUCUUGCGCAAUGGGCGAAAGCCUGACGCAGCGACGCCGCGUGAGGGAUGACGGCCUGG